UUCGGUGUGAAACAUUGAUCUAAUAUUUUGAGUCUUUGUCAAAGUGAAAAGGAUGUUGGUAGGACUCUAAAAUAAAGAAUCUUCGCCAGGUUAGUUGGGCUCUAAUACUAAAGUAUACUAUUGGUGGUGUUUUUCUACCCGUGACAUAACUCCCAAUCUGGCCUUGUUAUUGGAGGUGAGGACAACAUACCUACUUUCUUGGCUCGUCACACGAUUCCUGGAC